AUUGAACGCUGGCGGCAGGCUUAACACAUGCAAGUCGAGCGGAGAUGAGGUGCUUGCACCUUAUCUUAGCGGCGGACGGGUGAGUAAUGCUUAGGAAUCUGCCUAUUAGUGGGGGACAACAUUCCGAAAGGGAUGCUAAUACCGCAUACGUCCUACGGGAGAAAGCAGGGGAUCUUCGGACCUUGCGCUAAUAGAUGAGCCUAAGUCGGAUUAGCUAGUUGGUGGGGUAAAGGCCUACCAAGGCGACGAUCUGUAGCGGGUCUGAGAGGAUGAUCCGCCACAGUGGGACUGAGACACGGCCCAGAGUCCUACGGGAGGCAGCAGUGGGGAAUAUUGGACAAUGGGGGGAACCCUGAUCCAGCCAUGCCGCGUGUGUGAAGAAGGCCUUAUGGUUGUAAAGCACUUUAAGCGAGGAGGAGGCUACUGAGACUAAUACUCUUGGAUAGUGGACGUUACUCGCAGAAUAAGCACCGGCUAACUCUGUGCCAGCCGCCGCAGUAAAAC
rnacentral:rRNA from 1 species